AAUAAGUGUAGUUUUGCACUGUUCAUGUCCAACAUUUAACCGUCCGUCUUAUUUGAAAAAAUUUAUGAUUAGUAUUUUUUUUAUUAGUUGAUAAAACAUGAAUAGUACUUUAUGUGUGACUAAGUUUUUUUAAUUUUUUCAUAAAUUUUUUAAAUAAGACGGAUGGUCGAACGUUGGACACGGAUAUCCAUGGUUGCGCUUAUU
rfam:Oryza punctata chromosome 6, whole genome shotgun sequence.